CAUGCCUCUUCCGCCAGCCCUAGUUAUCCAAUCAUGGUGGUUGGGUCCGAGGUGUCUGUGACAUCGGACCAACCCUAUGCAAUGGGUGCUUCCCCUCAGGCCUCGGGCUUCCACCCAACUACCUCUCCCAUCACCGGUCUCCCUGCCGCCCCCGCCACAGCUACCCCUGAGACUACUCUUCACCGUGGCCCGGUGGCACCCGAGGAGAUCGUUGUGGUAGAACAGGAUUCACCUCGCCCAGGGGGGAACAGGCUCCCCCAACGGCACUCUAUCCCCCAGGGUUAUACCCAGAUUAACCAUGGAGCGGAUGGAGCACCACCCAUGUAUGUUACCUUCAACCCUUCCCAAGCUGCUACCCUUGUAACCUCACUCCCUGAUCCUGAGAAACACCCCAUGCCCUUUUUCCGCAGGAUGGCCCAAAUUCGGAAAACAUACUCCGCUGCCUGGCGGGAUCUUAUUAGUUUGUGUGAGAUAAAGGCUGGAGAUGCAUACUGGCCAAUCAUGGAACGGAGCUUUAACGAUGCUCCACUCACUUCUGAUACUGAUUUUCGUUCUGGUGAAAUUUUCGGUGAACAGCUCCGAGCUUGG